AAAACAAAGCAGCUCCGGAUCAAGUGGAGCACGCCAACUCUUGCUGAUCAGGGAUCCUAAGGAGGGGGACAGUUAGCUUAGCUACCUUCACCUGCGGGAAUGAAACGCAUGCCUUGUGAAAUAGGGCGUCAGUACAAAAAAUGUACUGAGUAUUUAAGGCAUGAAAAUUAGUACGUAAAAGACAUAAAUGAAACAUGGAAUACAGAAACAGAUCUUUAAAUCUAAAUAACUUUGUAAAUUCUGAAACAUUUAUAAUGUCAUGCACGUGCAUAUAAAUGUCAUGCCAUGCAUAGUUAUGGGUGUACAUAAUAUCAUCAAGCCACUGAGGGCAUCCCAUCAUAUCGUCUCGGCCACUGUGGGCAACAUCAUCAACAUAUACCAGCUGAUCAGGUUGUGGUACGUAUAUAACGCCGUAACCUUUUCCCAUCUCCCAUAUACAUAUAUUUACAUAUAUACACGUAUAUAAUGCCAUCUGGUCAUAGGUCAAUACACAUGAAUGAAAUGCAUGAAAAAUACAUAAUAAUCUCAGUAUUACUUCCGGAUAAACUUUUCCAACUGCGUAUUAUUCAUAAACCCAUGAAUAGAUGAUAAUAAUAAUUUUCAUGGGGAAUUAAGAAUAUAGAUACCCUACUAUAUCUAUGAAUAGAGUAACUAAUUAAAACUGUGUGUUUGCUCGUUUCUUCAGUAUAAUUUGGAUUAUGCCAAAAGAAAGAAGGGAGAGCCUUAACAUACCUGGAGUAGGAAAAAAUCUGUAUAAUAUUCCAUUGGAAACCUUCGUGGAUUGAACUUAGAACCUAAAAAUAAGAUUAAGCUUCUGCGUAGAACGAAAUCUGCUUUGAUUUGUUGAAGUUUAGGACGAAAUUGCUUCUAAGCUUUUGGUUUUGCGUUUCUGCUUCAACUUCCUUGGCUUUUAAUGCCAAUGGCAGAUCUUGGUUUUUG
rnacentral:lncRNA from 1 species